UUAAGCGACUAAGCGUACACGGUGGAUGCCCUGGCAGUCAGAGGCGAUGAAGGACGUGCUAAUCUGCGAUAAGCGUCGGUAAGGUGAUAUGAACCGUUAUAACCGGCGAUUUCCGAAUGGGGAAACCCAGUGUGAUUCGUCACACUAUCAUUAACUGAAUCCAUAGGUUAAUGAGGCGAACCGGGGGAACUGAAACAUCUAAGUACCCCGAGGAAAAGAAAUCAACCGAGAUUCCCCCAGUAGCGGCGAGCGAACGGGGAGCAGCCCAGAGCCUGAAUCAGUGUGUGUGUUAGUGGAAGCGUCUGGAAAGGCGUGCGAUACAGGGUGACAGCCCCGUACACAAAAAUGCACAUAUUGUGAGCUCGAUGAGUAGGGCGGGACACGUGGUAUCCUGUCUGAAUAUGGGGGGACCAUCCUCCAAGGCUAAAUACUCCUGACUGACCGAUAGUGAACCAGUACCGUGAGGGAAAGGCGAAAAGAACCCCGGCGAGGGGAGUGAAAAAGAACCUGAAACCGUGUACGUACAAGCAGUGGGAGCACGCUUAGGCGUGUGACUGCGUACCUUUUGUAUAAUGGGUCAGCGACUUAUAUUCUGUAGCAAGGUUAACCGAAUAGGGGAGCCGAAGGGAAACCGAGUCUUAACUGGGCGUUAAGUUGCAGGGUAUAGACCCGAAACCCGGUGAUCUAGCCAUGGGCAGGUUGAAGGUUGGGUAACACUAACUGGAGGACCGAACCGACUAAUGUUGAAAAAUUAGCGGAUGACUUGUGGCUGGGGGUGAAAGGCCAAUCAAACCGGGAGAUAGCUGGUUCUCCCCGAAAGCUAUUUAGGUAGCGCCUCGUGAAUUCAUCUCCGGGGGUAGAGCACUGUUUCGGCAAGGGGGUCAUCCCGACUUACCAACCCGAUGCAAACUGCGAAUACCGGAGAAUGUUAUCACGGGAGACACACGGCGGGUGCUAACGUCCGUCGUGAAGAGGGAAACAACCCAGACCGCCAGCUAAGGUCCCAAAGUCAUGGUUAAGUGGGAAACGAUGUGGGAAGGCCCAGACAGCCAGGAUGUUGGCUUAGAAGCAGCCAUCAUUUAAAGAAAGCGUAAUAGCUCACUGGUCGAGUCGGCCUGCGCGGAAGAUGUAACGGGGCUAAACCAUGCACCGAAGCUGCGGCAGCGACGCUGAUGCGUUGUUGGGUAGGGGAGCGUUCUGUAAGCCUGCGAAGGUGUGCUGUGAGGCAUGCUGGAGGUAUCAGAAGUGCGAAUGCUGACAUAAGUAACGAUAAAGCGGGUGAAAAGCCCGCUCGCCGGAAGACCAAGGGUUCCUGUCCAACGUUAAUCGGGGCAGGGUGAGUCGACCCCUAAGGCGAGGCCGAAAGGCGUAGUCGAUGGGAAACAGGUUAAUAUUCCUGUACUUGGUGUUACUGCGAAGGGGGGACGGAGAAGGCUAUGUUGGCCGGGCGACGGUUGUCCCGGUUUAAGCGUGUAGGCUGGUUUUCCAGGCAAAUCCGGAAAAUCAAGGCUGAGGCGUGAUGACGAGGCACUACGGUGCUGAAGCAACAAAUGCCCUGCUUCCAGGAAAAGCCUCUAAGCAUCAGGUAACAUCAAAUCGUACCCCAAACCGACACAGGUGGUCAGGUAGAGAAUACCAAGGCGCUUGAGAGAACUCGGGUGAAGGAACUAGGCAAAAUGGUGCCGUAACUUCGGGAGAAGGCACGCUGAUAUGUAGGUGAAGUCCCUCGCGGAUGGAGCUGAAAUCAGUCGAAGAUACCAGCUGGCUGCAACUGUUUAUUAAAAACACAGCACUGUGCAAACACGAAAGUGGACGUAUACGGUGUGACGCCUGCCCGGUGCCGGAAGGUUAAUUGAUGGGGUCAGCGCAAGCGAAGCUCUUGAUCGAAGCCCCGGUAAACGGCGGCCGUAACUAUAACGGUCCUAAGGUAGCGAAAUUCCUUGUCGGGUAAGUUCCGACCUGCACGAAUGGCGUAAUGAUGGCCAGGCUGUCUCCACCCGAGACUCAGUGAAAUUGAACUCGCUGUGAAGAUGCAGUGUACCCGCGGCAAGACGGAAAGACCCCGUGAACCUUUACUAUAGCUUGACACUGAACAUUGAGCCUUGAUGUGUAGGAUAGGUGGGAGGCUUUGAAGUGUGGACGCCAGUCUGCAUGGAGCCGACCUUGAAAUACCACCCUUUAAUGUUUGAUGUUCUAACGUUGACCCGUAAUCCGGGUUGCGGACAGUGUCUGGUGGGUAGUUUGACUGGGGCGGUCUCCUCCUAAAGAGUAACGGAGGAGCACGAAGGUUGGCUAAUCCUGGUCGGACAUCAGGAGGUUAGUGCAAUGGCAUAAGCCAGCUUGACUGCGAGCGUGACGGCGCGAGCAGGUGCGAAAGCAGGUCAUAGUGAUCCGGUGGUUCUGAAUGGAAGGGCCAUCGCUCAACGGAUAAAAGGUACUCCGGGGAUAACAGGCUGAUACCGCCCAAGAGUUCAUAUCGACGGCGGUGUUUGGCACCUCGAUGUCGGCUCAUCACAUCCUGGGGCUGAAGUAGGUCCCAAGGGUAUGGCUGUUCGCCAUUUAAAGUGGUACGCGAGCUGGGUUUAGAACGUCGUGAGACAGUUCGGUCCCUAUCUGCCGUGGGCGCUGGAGAACUGAGGGGGGCUGCUCCUAGUACGAGAGGACCGGAGUGGACGCAUCACUGGUGUUCGGGUUGUCAUGCCAAUGGCACUGCCCGGUAGCUAAAUGCGGAAGAGAUAAGUGCUGAAAGCAUCUAAGCACGAAACUUGCCCCGAGAUGAGUUCUCCCUGACUCCUUGAGAGUCCUGAAGGAACGUUGAAGACGACGACGUUGAUAGGCCGGGUGUGUAAGCGCAGCGAUGCGUUGAGCUAACCGGUACUAAUGAACCGUGAGGCUUAACCUU
rnacentral:rRNA from 2 species